rnacentral:rRNA from 1 species
GACGAACGCUGGCGGCGUGCUUAACACAUGCAAGUCGAACGGAAAGGCCCUGCUUUUGUGGGGUGCUCGAGUGGCGAACGGGUGAGUAACACGUGAGUAACCUGCCCUUGACUUUGGGAUAACUUCAGGAAACUGGGGCUAAUACCGGAUAGGAGCUCCUGCUGCAUGGUGGGGGUUGGAAAGUUUCGGCGGUUGGGGAUGGACUCGCGGCUUAUCAGCUUGUUGGUGGGGUAGUGGCUUACCAAGGCUUUGACGGGUAGCCGGCCUGAGAGGGUGACCGGCCACAUGGGGACUGAGAGACGGCCCAGACGCCUACGGUGGGCAGCAGGGGGGAAUAUGGCACAAUGGGCGGGAGCCUGAUGCAGCAGCGCCGCGUGCGGGAUGACGGCCUUCGGGGUGUAAACCGCUGUCGCCUGUGACGAAGCGUGAGUGACGGUAAUGGGUAAAGAAGCACCGGCUAACUACGUG